CUCGUUCGCAAGACAUCAGGCAUUGUUGUGAGAAAAUAAUGACAAUAACAUUUACUACCAUCAAGCAACGCAUGAUUUGUACAGGACAUUAAACAAUAAAACCAAAAAGAAAACAAACUCUUUUGAAUUGCGUACAGAACUAAUGAAGCAAAUCAUUUUAUCGUUUGACGUGUGAAUAGUCUAUAACUCCAGGACAAUUCAGAAGCCAUUUUCGGAUGCAGCCAUGCCAGGUGAGGACAGUCCAGAGCCAAUUAAGAAGAGCAGCAUCCAGACUUCUGGUUAACAGGUUGUCCACGUAUCUGCACAGUAGGUGACCUUGCAUUGUUUGCUGCUGGUUGACUUG
rnacentral:misc_RNA from 1 species